rnacentral:rRNA from 1 species
UGGGGAAUAUUGGACAAUGGGCGCAAGCCUGAUCCAGCCAUGCCGCGUGAGUGAUGAAGGCCUUAGGGUUGUAAAGCUCUUUCGCCGGUGAAGAUAAUGACGGUAACCGGAGAAGAAGCCCCGGCUAACUUCGUGCCAGCAGCCGCGGUAAUACGAAGGGGGCUAGCGUUGCUCGGAAUCACUGGGCGUAAAGCGCACGUAGGCGGAUCGUUAAGUCAGGGGUGAAAUCCUGGAGCUCAACUCCAGAACUGCCCUUGAUACUGGCGAUCUCGAGUUCGAGAGAGGUUGGUGGAACUCCGAGUGUAGAGGUGAAAUUCGUAGAUAUUCGGAAGAACACCAGUGGCGAAGGCGGCCAACUGGCUCGAUACUGACGCUGAGGUGCGAAAGCGUGGGGAGCAAAACAGGAUUAGAUACCCUGGUAGUCCACGCCGUAAAACGAUGGAUGCUAGCCGUUGGGGGGUUUACCUCUCAGUGGCGCAGCUAACGCCUUAAGCAUCCCGCCUGGGGAGUACGGUCGCAAGAUUAAAAACUCAAAAUGAAUUGACGGGGUCAUAGCUGUUUCCU